AUUGAACGCUGGCGGCAGGCCUAACACAUGCAAGUCGAACGAGUGGCGGACGGGUGAGUAAUGUCUGGGAAACUGCCUGAAGGAGGGGGAUAACUACUGGAAACGGUAGCUAAUACCGCAUACCAUCGGAUGUGCCCAGAUGGGAUUAGCUAGUGGGUGGGGUAACGGCUCACCUAGGCGACGAUCCCUAGCUGGUCUGAGGGGAUGACCUGCAACACUGGAACUGAGACAGGGUCCAGAGUCCUACGGGAGUCAGCAGAGGGGAAGAUUGCACAAGGGGCGAAAGCCUGAUGCAGCACUGCCGCGUGUAUGAAGAAGGCCUUCGGUUUGUAAAGUACUUUCAGCUGGGAGGCGUUACCCGCAGAAGAAGCACCGGCUAACUCCGUGCCAGCCGCCGCGGUAAUAC
rnacentral:rRNA from 1 species